rnacentral:rRNA from 1 species
GAUGAACGCUGGCGGCGUGCCUAAUACAUGCAGGUCGAGCGAACAGACGAGGAGCUUGCUCCUCUGAUGUUAGCGGCGGACGGGUGAGUAACACGUGGAUAACCUACCUAUAAGACUGGGAUAACUUCGGGAAACCGGAGCUAAUACCGGAUAACAUGUUGAACCGCAUGGUUCAACAGUGAAAGACGGUUUUGCUGUCACUUAUAGAUGGAUCCGCGCCGCAUUAGCUAGUUGGUAAGGUAACGGCUUACCAAGGCAACGAUGCGUAGCCGACCUGAGAGGGUAAUCGGCCACACUGGAACUGAGACACGGUCCAGACUCCUACGGGAGGCAGCAGUAGGGAAUCUUCCGCAAUGGGCGAAAGCCUGACGGAGCAACGCCGCGUGAGUGAAGAAGGUCUUCGGAUCGUAAAACUCUGUUAUUAGGGAAGAACAAAUGUGUAAGUAACUAUGCACGUCUUGACGGUACCUAAUCAGAAAGCCACGGCUAACUACGUG